rnacentral:rRNA from 1 species
UACGUAGGUGGCAAGCGUUGUCCGGAUUUACUGGGCGUAAAGAGCGCGCAGGCGGUCGGAUCAGUCGAAUGUGAAAGCCCCCGGCUCAACUGGGGAGGGUCACUUGAUACUGAUCGACUCGAAGGCAGGAGAGGGAAGCGGAAUUCCCGGUGUAGUGGUGAAAUGCGUAGAUAUCGGGAGGAACACCAGUGGCGAAGGCGGCUUCCUGGCCUGUUCUUGACGCUGAGGCGCGAAAGCUAGGGGAGCAAACGGG